ensembl:lncRNA
UCAAUGUAGGACGCAAUCUGAGCUUCGGUGGGAUGCAUCCUUUUUAAAAAGUUGUUUAUUUUCCUGCAUGGGAGGAAAGCUUAUGCUUAUCUUCUCAUACUGUUAAAUAUAUUUGGUGUUUGAAUAGAUAUGAAAUGGGAUACUUACUUUUUUACCAAAGGCUGGACUGCUUUUAGAAUGGCAUCAACAAUGUUAACGAGGACUGAGUUACCUGAAGAUGGUAAAGACAAACAUUGAAUGGCAAAGCACUUAUAAAGCCAUCGACGAAGUCAGACUGUAAGCCUUCAGUAUGGUCCAUGUCUGAGAUUGAGAUAUCACUGGAGUGUCCUAAAGGACUGACUAAUUUUGAUCUAUUAACAAAGACAUCUAAACUUUCAGCAAGACUCUCCUGUCCAUCUGAAACCACAUCCUGUUCAUCAGAGGUCUGAUCUUCCAUAUCUGUUUCUCUAUUUCUGAAGGUUUCAGUCUCUUCACGAGGAUUACAAAACCUAAUGUUUGUAGCUAUUGGCCCUUCUACAAUGCCCUCCUUUGGCUCUUCAUCUGUGUCGAUGCAGGCUGGCAGUGCUGUUGGUCCACCUCCUGCUUCAUCGAGCUUAUCAUCUCCUCUGGGGUUAUGGGACUGGGAAAAAAACAUAAUAUCACCAGAGGGUGGCAGUAUCCUCAAUAAUUGACCUUGUGCUGAAGCUAAAG